rnacentral:rRNA from 1 species
GAUGAACGCUGGCGGCGUGCCUAAUACAUGCAAGUCGAGCGAAUGGAUUGAGAGCUUGCUCUUAUGAAGUUAGCGGCGGACGGGUGAGUAACACGUGGGUAACCUGCCCAUAAGACUGGGAUAACUCCGGGAAACCGGGGCUAAUACCGGAUAACAUUUUGAACCGCAUGGUUCGAAAUUGAAAGGCGGCUUCGGCUGUCACUUAUGGAUGGACCCGCGUCGCAUUAGCUAGUUGGUGAGGUAACGGCUCACCAAGGCAACGAUGCGUAGCCGACCUGAGAGGGUGAUCGGCCACACUGGGACUGCGACACGGCCCAGACUCCUACGGGAGGCAGCAGUAGGGAAUCUUCCGCAAUGGACGAAAGUCUGACGGAGCAACGCCGCGUGAGUGAUGAAGGCUUUCGGGUCGUAAAACUCUGUUGUUAGGGAAGAACAAGUGCUAGUUGAAUAAGCUGGCACCUUGACGGUACCUAACCGGAAAGCCACGGCUAACUACGUGCCAGCCGCCGCCGCAG